CCAUCUUCAUAUAUAUUAUUAUGUCUUGGUUCUGGCUCUCUUGAUCUCUUUUGUUCUAAAAGUGUGUAACUGUGUAUUGCCUUUAAAUUUUCCUUCUUGUUCAUUGCGACACCUUCGGUAUUUGGUAAUUCGUGAAGAAAUCUGCUGCUGAUACUUAAACUGCAGUUGUGCAUCUUAAUUUGUUCAGUCUGGAUUUGAGGAUCUCAAGCAAAAUCAGAUCUCAAAAUUUCCAUUCUUAAUUAUCAACAAGUAUGGCGGUGGGAGAGAUUUUUCUUGGGGCGUUCCUUCAAGUGCUGCUCGACAGAUUGGCGCCUCGCGAGAUCCUCAACUACUUUGGCCUCGCAAAGGGCGUCGACAAAAAGCUGAAUAAAUGGAGUGACAAUUUGUCUGCAAUCGUAGCGGUGCUGAAUGAUGCGGAGGAGAAGCAACUGAUAGAGCAUGGUGUGAAAUUGUGGCUGGAUGAACUUAGAGACUUGGCUUAUGAUGUAGAUGACGUGCUGGACAAAUUUGCUACUAAAAUAUUGAAGCGCCGGAUAAAGGGACGUGAUCAAGCCAGCACAAGUAAAAAGGUGCGGAGUUCAUUCUCUAAACUGAAACUCAAUUUCGAUAUGAACUCUGAGAUAAAGAAGAUUACAGAGCGGUUGCAAGAGAUCUCUGAACGGAAAGAUAAGUUUGGUUUAAAGGGCACCGGAACGUCUAGUAAAGCAUGGUCAAGGCCACCAACUUCAGGUGUGCUAGGUGGACUAACCAUUGUUGGAAGAGAUGGAGAUAAAGCAAAAAUAUUAGACAUGUUGUCGAGAGAUGAGCAUAAUAAUGUCAACUUUCAUGUUGUUGCCAUUGUUGGCAUGGCUGGCCUUGGGAAGACUACACUUGCUCAAUUUGCAUUCAACAACAACAGUGAUGUCAUGAAGGAGUUCGAGCCGAGGGUGUGGGUGUCUGUGUCCGAUGACUUCGACAUUGUAAGAGUGACGAAGGCAAUUCUUGAAUCAGUCACAUCUCAACCCGUUAAAGUAGAGGAGUUCAGUAAAAUGCAGCAUGAUUUGAAUGAGCAGUUAAGAGGUAAAAAGUUUUUAAUUGUUUUAGAUGAUAUUUGGAACAAAGGUGAUUUAUAUGAUCUGUGGACAAGACUUCAGUCCCCUUUUAGUGUUGGAGCACAAGGAAGUAAGAUAAUUGUGACAACACGAGACCUAAAAGUUGCAAAGAUUAUGGGAGCCACCGAAGUUCAUAACUUGGAGUCUGUGUCAGAUGAUAAUUGUUUGGAAAUAUUUGAGCAGCAUGCAUUUGUGAACAAUGAUAGACCACCAAAUUUUGAGUUGCUUCAGAAAAAAAUUGCUGAAAAAUGCAGUGGAUUGCCCUUAGCUGCAAGAACUCUUGGUGGGCUUUUACGUCAGAAUGAAAUAAACGAAUGGGAAGAAAUAUUGAACAACAAAUUGUGGAAUUUAUCAGGUAAGAGUGACAUUCUUCCGGUAUUAAAGUUGAGCUAUCACUAUCUUCCUUCCAACUUGAAGAGGUGUUUUGCCUAUUGCUCAAUAUUUCCAAAUGACUAUGAAUUUGGGGAGAAGCAAUUGAUCCUUUUAUGGAUGGCAGAGGGUUUGAUUCAACAACCACCAGAAGCCAAUAGACAAAUGGAGGAUUUAGGCCACGACUAUUUUCAAGAGCUAUUAUGUAGGUCAUUAUUUCAAAAGGCAAGUGAAAACAAUUCACGAUAUGUAAUGCAUGACCUUGUUACUGAUUUGGCACAAUGGGCAGCAGGAAAUACUUGUUUUAGAUUGGAGGACAAGAAAGGUGAUAACUUGCAAUCUGUAUGCUUUCGUCAUUCGUCUUUCAUAAUUGGUCACUAUGAUGGAGUUCAAAAGUUUGAGGCCUAUCGCGAAGUUAAACGUUUGCGAACAUUCCUGCCACUUUCACUAUCAGAUAUUUGGUGGAGUAGUCAAUGUCUGGCUCGUACGGUAAUUUUUGAUUUAUUACCUCAGAUGCAAUACUUACGGGUGCUUUCUUUGAAUGGCUAUCGAGUGACUGAGCUGCCAGAUUCAAUUGGUAAUUUGAAGUAUCUGCGGUAUCUUGAUUUUUCUCACACAGAUAUAACAAGUUUGCCUGAACCAACAACCACUCUUUUCAACUUACAGACACUGAUAUUGAAAGGUUGUAGUUUAUUGGAGGCACUACCCAUAAACUUGAGGAAUCUAGUGAAUCUGCGUCAUCUCAACAAUUCAGAGGUAGAUUCACUAAAAGCAAUGCCUCCGCAACUAGGUCGGUUGACAAAUCUGCAAUCUUUGCCUAAUUUUGUGGUGGGUAAAGGUAGUGAUGAAUCAGGGAUAAGAGAGAUAGGAUCCCUAUCCCAUCUCCGAGGGACAUUAUCGCUCUCAAGGUUGGAGAAUGUGAUCGAUGCUGAGGAUGCACGGAAGGCCGACUUAAAAUCCAAGGAGAGAGUAGAUGAAUUGGUGCUAGAAUGGUCGGAUAACACACAAGAAACGCAAUUAGGCGUGCUUGACAGAUUAGAACCUCAUAGAAAGCUUGAAAAACUCAUCAUCUGGGGUUAUGCUGGAUUAGAAUUUUCAACAUGGAUUGGAGAUCGUUUAUUCUCCACUAUGGUGCAUGUACGCUUAGACAAAUGUAAAAAUUGUCAAAUCUUGCCACCACUUGGGCAACUGCCUUUGCUCAAAGAACUUUAUAUUACAGGAAUGGCUGCAGUGAAAAGUGUCGGUCCUGAGUUUUAUGGAGAGAGUAGCUUGCCUUUUCCAGUACUGGAGACUCUUGAGUUUUCAGAUAUGCACAACUGGAAGAAAUGGCUUCCUUUCGAACAAGAUCAGGUUUUCCCUUGCUUGAAAUUGCUUUCAAUCAGAAAUUGUCCUCAAUUGGAGGGUAAGGUGCCCGAGAACCUUGAUUCAUUAGAAACACUUAAAAUUAUUAAAUGCGAGGAAUUGGUGAUUUCAAUUUCCAACUAUAAACAAAUUGGUGCAUUAGACAUCGACGGUUGCAAAGCGGUGGUGAAGACAAGUGGCGUUGAGUUUGAGUUAUUAGAGUCCUUGAAACUUUCAAAUAUUUCAGAGGUGAGGUUCCAAACAGGGGAAUUCACCAAAGGAUUAAGGAAGGUUGCAAAUUUGAGGAUUGGCGGAUGUGAGGAGCUGACAUCUUCACUGAAGAAUGAGGAUAGAGUAUUGCAACACUUGAUUUCUCUUGAUUCUUUGGUUAUUGAAGGAAACUCUUCCCUCCUUGAAAAGCUGGGAAAAGAAGCAGAGGAGUUGCUGCAAUUGCAAAUAUUGACUUGCAAGCUUAAAUAUCUGGAAUUAAACAAGUGUGCAAGUCUUUCGAAGGUACCAGAAGGGUUGCAUCACCUAACGGCUCUUCAAGACCUUCAAAUAGUUGGAUGCUCAAGUCUGGUUUCUUUUCCAGAUGUUGGUCUGCCUCCUUCCCUUGAAGUCAUAAGGAUUGAGGAGUGUGAUUCGUUGCUGUAUUUCGCAAAAUACCAGAUUCCCCCAAAUCUAAGAAGAAUAGAGAUAAGGAGGUGUAAAAGUUUGAAAUCAUUAGUAGAGAAAGAGGAGGAUAGUUCUUCGUCUUCCUCUUCUUCUCAUAUUUCUCUUGAGCACUUGGAAAUACGGGUAUGUGAAUCUCUAACGUCGUUAUCAUUGAGAGCCCAGUUGUUUCCCAGGGCGCUUAAACGCCUUCACAUAUCCGAUUGUGGAGAGCUGCAGUUAAUAAUGUCCGAUGAGUUAGCCCACGACAACACUAAUUAUUGUCUUGAAUAUAUUAGCAUCGAUUCUUGCCCAAAUCUGAAAUCCUUACCGGAGGGCCUAUGCCACCUCACCAAUCUUCAAACUUUACAGAUUUAUGAUUGUGGGAGUCUGGUUUCCAUCCCGAGCCUGAGUGGUGAGGGUUUGCCUUCGCCAACAACAACAGCCGCCUCCAGCCUGAAAGAAAUCACAUCGAAAAUUGCAACAAAUUGGAGAUGUUACCGGACAUGUGCAAUCUCAACUGUCUUCAGGAAUUGAAUAUUGAUUACGGUGAAGGUUUAAAUUUCACUUCCUUUCCCCCCAACCUAACAUCACUUACAAUUAGUGGAUUCAAGAAUUGUAAGCCGCUGUGGGAGUUGUUGCACAGGCUCACCUCUCUUACAGGCUUGUUCAUUAGUGGUGAAGACCCAAGUGUGGUGUCAUUUCCACCCGACAGUUACAGGGAGAUGGAGAUGGAGAUUCUUCUCCCCAAAUCUCUCACUGUUCUCUCAAUUGCUGGCUUCCCAAAUCUGAAGAAACUGAGCAGCAAGGGCUUUCAAUUCCUCACCUCUCUUCAAUCUCUUCAACUCUGUGAUUGUCCAAAGCUGGCAUCUAUUCCAGUGGAGGGGUUGCCUAUUUCACUGAGGGAACUUAAAAUCAUUAGGUGUCCUCUGCUAAAAGAUAAAUGCCAGCCUGGAAGUAAAGGACGAUACCUGCCCAAAAUAUCCCACAUCCCCCGCAUAAAGAUAUGGCCUUAGAAGACGGUUUGAAGAUGAUGAGAACCCACACCGACACAUGGACAUGGUCAACUCCGACUCUCACUCUCCCCAGGAAGUGCAUUUAAGCCAGAUUAGAUCAGCAAAUUCACAUCACUUCAAGAUGACCGUCUCCCAUCCUGACUGGGGAUUCCCCAACCUCCCACUGCGAUUUACUCUUUUUAAGGCCUCGAUAAAAUUGACCUAGUCCUCGCAUGAUGUCUGGUCCAGUGUGAGAGGGUUAAAAGAAGGGACUGCCUCUCUUGCUUCCAGAGCUGCAGGGUGAAGAGCUGUGAAAGGACUGGAUAGCAACAAGGUCAUUUCAUAUCGUGGUAACAUCAACUGAAGAUGGUAAAUCACUACCUUUCUGUUUCAAGUUUCAGAGUUUUAAUAUUUUGCCAUUUGGUUUGCCUUGUAAUAUUUUGCCAUUUGGUUUGCCCUGUAAUAUUUUGUCAUCUCUGUACUGAGAAAACUUUUACCCAUAUUUCUCUUUCUUUUGUUUGAUUGUAUUCAAGUUGGUAGGUUUACUUAAUCUUAGCUUAAGAUUUGAACCCUGACCCCUUUACAAUCUUUAGAGGACUUGUAGAGCUAGCAGUUUUUAAAGGACAUCACGUAACCAAGUGUUAUUCUUUGUUCUUUUAAACAGAAAUGUCGACUGAACCUGCCAGAUAUUUGUGACAAAUUCUUGAUAUUUGCACUGA